rnacentral:rRNA from 1 species
AUUAGCAUGGGAUAAUGGAAUAGGACCCUGUCCUCCUAUUUUCAGUUGGUUUUGGCAGCGCGAGGACUAGGGUAAUGAUUAAUAGGGAUAGUUGGGGGCAUUAAUAUUUAAUUGUCAGAGGUGAAAUUCUUGGAUUUAUGAAAGAUUAACUUCUGCGAAAGCAUCUGCCAAGGAUGUUUUCAUUAAUCAAGAACGAAAGUUAGGGGAUCGAAGACGAUCAGAUACCGUCGUAGUCUUAACCAUAAACGAUGCCGACCAGCGAUUAGGAGACGUUGAAUACAAAACACCACCAUCGGUGCGGUCGUCCUUGGCGCGUUGGUCUUCAAAAGCCAGCGCGCGGGGGCGGCUUAGCCCGGUGGCACCGGUGAAUGACUCCCUAGA